AUUUAUUUAGUAUAAAAACAGUACAAUUAACUUCCAAUUAAUUAGUCUUUCUUUCUUUAAAGAAUAAAUA
rnacentral:tRNA from 1 species